rnacentral:rRNA from 1 species
GGCCUGGCUGGACGGUCCGCCCUUCGGGUGAGUACUGUCUGUGGUCGGGUCCUACCUUCUGGCGAAGCGUCAUGGCCUUAACCGGCCGUGGCGGGGAACCAGGACUUUUACUGUGAAAAAUUAGAGUGUUCAAAGCAGGCAAUUCGCUUGGAUACAUUAGCAUGGAAUAAUGGAAUAGGACAAUGGUUCUAUUUGUUGGUUCUGAGACCAAAGUA